ensembl:snRNA U2 U2 spliceosomal RNA
ACUGCAAUUUCAACCCUUGGGUGAAGAUCUGGUGUAGCAUCGGUUUUUAUCAGUUUAAUAUCUGAUUUGCUCCAUCCAAGGGAAAGGUAUUAGAAGGAUUUUUAGAAAGAGGAGAUGAAGUGGGGUUUGCUCCAUCAACUCUGUGCAAUUGUGUUGGUAUUAAAAUGCUUUCAGGGAUUAUGGACAUAUU